rnacentral:rRNA from 1 species
AGAGUUUGAUCCUGGCUCAGGACGAACGCUGGCGGCGUGCUUAACACAUGCAAGUCGAGCGGUAAGGCCCUUCGGGGGUACACGAGCGGCGAACGGGUGAGUAACACGUGGGUGACCUGCCCUCCACUCUGGGAUAAGCCUGGGAAACUGGGUCUAAUACCGGAUAGGACCAUUGAUCGCAUGGUUGGUGGUGGAAAGUUUUUCGGUGGGGGAUGGGCCCGCGGCCUAUCAGCUUGUUGGUGGGGUGAUGGCCUACCAAGGCGGUGACGGGUAGCCGGCCUGAGAGGGCGACCGGCCACACUGGGACUGAGACACGGCCCAGACUCCUACGGGAGGCAGCAGUGGGGAAUAUUGCGCAAUGGGCGGAAGCCUGACGCAGCGACGCCGCGUGGGGGAUGACGGCCUUCGGGUUGUAAACCUCUUUCGCCAGGGACGAAGAGCAAUUGACGGUACCUGGAGAAGAAGCACCGGCCAACUACGUG